AUGACAACGGCUUUGUCAGCUUAUGAACUUUAUAUGAAGGGAAAAGAAUCAAAAAUGUUUAAUUCCAUGGCACCAUUUCAAAAUUGCAUCCGACAACUAACGAGUAUUUUUCAUUUAGUAUAAGAUUUUUUACGCUUCAGUGAUACGAAGUGAUCACGCUUUAAAAUCGGAUAGGUUUUGAACGAUAGUGGAGAGUGAUGAGGCGUGAACCGUUUUUAAAUGCCAAGAACAUGAUGCAUUGACGAUGAAGGCAAACAACCGAAAUAUUAUAAUUUUAAAAUUGCUAAGUACCCAUUUUCUUCACUAUGCCUCUCUGUGAAAUCAGCAUUAAAGCCGUUUAUUAAGAAAAAAGUUUGUUUAAUUUUUACAAUUAUGCCUGUCAGUGAAAUGUAAAUAGCUCCGAAAACUCUUUUUUGAGUCUUGAAAUGUCUGCGAGCAACCUGAAGUUUGACUGAUUUGAUAAAAAAUUUGGUUGAUCAAUAUUAUCGUUUUCAUUAUUCUAAUCGAAGUAAAUUUAACCAUAGGUAAUUAAAAAUACGGAAAUCUUAAACUGUGUGGGUUUCAACAAAUUAGAUAGUUAUUUUACCGUUUUAAGCCUUUCACAUAUGGAGAGGCUGAUAUUGAUAGGGGGUCAAUUUAUCAAUUUUUUCUCAGUGGUUGUGGCGAAGAUGGGCGCAAAAUUGUCAAAAGGAUCCGUAUAUAGAAACGAAAAACCAAUAAUAAAUCAUACAUUGUCUUUUCA